rnacentral:rRNA from 1 species
UACGGAGGGUGCAAACGUUGCUCGGAAUCAUUGGGCGUAAAGCGCACGUAGGCGGACCGCUAAGUCGGAUGUGAAAGCCCUCGGCUUAACCGAGGAAGUGCAUUCGAUACUGUGUCGCUUGAGUAUCGGAGGGGUCGGCGGAAUUCCCGGUGUAGAGGUGAAAUUCGUAGAUAUCGGGAGGAACACCUGUGGCGAAGGCGGCCGACUGGACGAUUACUGACGCUGAGGAGCGAAAGCUAGGGGAGCAAACGGG